CCUACGGGAGGCAGCAGUGAGGAAUAUUGGUCAAUGGACGAGAGUCUGAACCAACCAAGUAGCGUGAAGGAUGACUGCCCUAUGGGUUGUAAACUUCUUUUAUAUGGGAAUAAAAUGUUCCACGUGUGGGAUUUUGUAUGUACCAUAUGAAUAAGGAUCGGCUAACUCCGUGCCAGCAGCCGCGGUAAUACGGAGGAUCCGAGCGUUAUCCGGAUUUAUUGGGUUUAAAGGGAGCGUAGGUGGAUUGUUAAGUCAGUUGUGAAAGUUUGCGGCUCAACCGUAAAAUUGCAGUUGAAACUGGCAGUCGUGAGUACAGUAGAGGUGGGCGGAAUUCGUGGUGUAGCGGUGAAAUGCUUAGAUAUCACGAAGAACUCCGAUUGCGAAGGCAGCUCACUGGACUGCAACUGACACUGAGGCUCGAAAGUGUGGGUAUCAAACAGGAUUAGAUACCCCAGUAGUC
rnacentral:rRNA from 1 species